ACCCGCUGAACUUAAGCAUAUCAAUAAGCGGAGGAAAAGAAACCAACAGGGAUUGCCCUAGCAACGGCGAGUGAAGCGGCAACAGCUCAAAUUUGAAAUCUGGCGUCUUUGGCGUCCGAGUUGUAAUUUGCAGAGGGCGCUUUGGCAUUGGCAGCGGUCCAAGUUCCUUGGAACAGGACGUCACAGAGGGUGAGAAUCCCGUACGUGGUCGCUAGCCUUUACCGUGUAAAGCCCCUUCGACGAGUCGAGUUGUUUGGGAAUGCAGCUCUAAAUGGGAGGUAAAUUUCUUCUAAAGCUAAAUACUGGCCAGAGACCGAUAGCGCACAAGUAGAGUGAUCGAAAGAUGAAAAGCACUUUGGAAAGAGAGUUAAAAAGCACGUGAAAUUGUUGAAAGGGAAGCGCUUGCAGCCAGACUUGCCUGUAGUUGCUCAUCCGGGUUUUUACCCGGUGCACUCUUCUAUAGGCAGGCCAGCAUCAGUUUGGGCGGUUGGAUAAAGGUCUCUGUCAUGUACCUCUCUUCGGGGAGAACUUAUAGGGGAGACGACAUGCAACCAGCCCGGACUGAGGUCCGCGCAUCUGCUAGGAUGCUGGCGUAAUGGCUGU
rnacentral:rRNA from 1 species